GUGUUUCUGCUGUCGUUCAUCGCGCGAUAUUUCAUCAUGCCGGUUUACAUAUUUCGCUUGUGUCUAAGUUUUCCGAAUGAUCCCGGAUUCCAACCCAAUCAUCAGGAAUAAGUUUACAACUGUUCGUCAACCCAUCGUGAAGCAGGAAUUAAUGUCGUCGCAUACGCUAUUCACUAACAUGAUGUACAUGCAAUCGGUAUCAACAUCUGGUUCGCAAUGGAUGUUUUGUUGAUCAACAUUCGUUCAUAUUAUCCGGAUAUCUUUGACCUGAAUAUACUUUUGUUGCAUUACUUCGAGUAGCAGAAUUACCACUCAUCCAUAGUUUGUGUGGAUUCGGAAUUCGCUACGUCGAAAUGGUGAAGUAUGGAGGAAACGUACUGCAACGGGUUUGAAAGUAUAGUUCUUGCCAUGAAAUCAAAGUACAGAAAGCAAAACCGUCAAAGAAGCCUGCGAUGCAGCUAAUCGGUAAGACCCGAAACUUGCUUCGCAUAUUAUUUAUUUGAAGUAGUUUAAAGAGAAAAUAGAUAAUGUCGGCAAUAUCCAGUUCUCGCAUGGGACUAACUAUGUACCUACCCUACUGAUUUUAUACGAAGCGGAGGAAUUAAUUUGUGGACGUUACAGCGGUUCGGCCAGACACAUGCACAAUGGUUACUUUGUCGUCAAAUAUUGAACCUAGUACAUUCGGGCAUUCAGACGGUGUGCAGCUUACGUUUUGAUUGCUUAUGAGCGGUUGCUAUCAGCAAACUAGGCUGUUUUUGUGCUGAGUGUCUGUUUCUCAAUCAGUGCCUUAAGUCCUUGACAGUAUUGCGAAGAAAAUCUAUUCACAAAUGCGAGCUUCGUGACAAACGAUUCAUCAGGAGCAGCACGAUGCACGCUUUGUAUAAAAUGAGUCCUAUGGAAGCGCUAUGUUCAACAUACCCGGACACAUCACGGUGAUUGGCUAUUCGAUUGGAACUUCUAUGAUAAGAUACUCGGGUCGGUUUUUGGUAUCCCCGAUGUUCUCAUACCAGCCACGGGUGAUAAAAAUUUGGCCCUUGACAGUUAACUAUUCGAACACAUGCCUUUCAUGUGAGCAACUUCAGCUCAUGUGUGCCUCAGGCACACUGUCGUAACGUGCCGGUUCACAUUAUCCGGGAUGCGUCAUAAUAUCCGGGACAUUAUACUAUAGUUUGCCAAUCCGCUAGCAGCCUGCCAUCCCAAGUUUCAUCUGCAAACUAUGGUAGAUCUGAUAAGGCAACCUAUUCAGCUUUUUGCUGGUGGCUGCGUUUUUAAAUGCGCACUCUAUUUUGACAAGUCGUCUGUACAGUGUCAACUUUGACAACUCGUCAGCAGUGUCAAUUUUGACAAGCGGUCUCAUCAGCCUUGAGUUUCAUGGCUAUCAUAUAUCCUGCUUUAUUUACAAGCAGAUUCUCAGCUUUUAGAAAGUGUCGAGAGAAUUAUGCGAUUAGAACCUCUGCUCUUACCUAAAUUCAUCACACAUGAAUUGACUAAUAAUAGCACAUGAAACUUGCUUUUAAACCACCCGGAAAAGCAUCUUUUACGAUGCAGUACCUAAAACUAGACCUAAACAAUGUUUGUUCGCAUCUGAUUUUGGAUACAAAUUUGUAGCAAAAUUUAGCACCAAGAAUUGACAAUUGUUAGCUGCAGCUGCGUUUACCGAAAAAUCGGUUGCAAUUUUCCUGACUUAUUAGUUUCGACUAAAUUGAGUAUCGCUUAUUGGUUUUCCUCAGUAUAACAAUCGCCCAAUUACAUUAUAAGACUGAUUAAUUGCCUUAUUAUUCGACCGAUUUUUGUAUGCCGAUAGCGAGUAGCUAAUAGUUUUGAAUAGCAGAUGUUCUGUAUCCACAUUUCGAGUCGAGUGCCACUGUUGAAUGGGACUACAGUUGACUGUGCGGAUCCGUACCGAAAUCAGUUUAGUUUUUCAACUGAAAAACCAUAUAUUUAUUUGACGUUCAAUUUUAGUUGAGAGCAGAAGUGAACGCCUACCGCGAUCAAAAAAUUGAAUCUAAAGCACGGUUUGUCAAAUUUGUCAAGACUGAUGAUUUGUCAAAAUUGACAUUGGACGGAUGAUUUGUCAAAGUGGGGUGCGCAUUUGGGGACGCAGCCACCAACAAAAAGCUGAAUAGAGUCGUGCAAGUCGCAUGGGUUUGGAUGUGUUAUUGUCCUAAAAGGAAACAAACUAAAAAAUGUUUUUUUUCAAUAGUUUCGGGCCUAAAAAUUUAAAAAGACCUGAGAUAUUAACUCACGGUACUAAUCUGCAUCACAAUAUGCCUUAACCCGCACACCCUUAAAGAUCCCUACUGCCUUUAAAUCGCAUUCGCAAAUUGCAUUUGUUCCUAGGGGCAAUUAGCACAGGCGAAUUGAGUCAAACGUCAAACUUUUUAAAUCGAGACCAUGUUCGUCCGCAUUUUUUUGACAGGGCAGCUUGACAGCAACGCCCAGUUGAAGAUGUCGGGCGAUCAUUGAAUAACCAUCCAACGCAUUUGACUAACGUAGGAUGACUUAAUCUCACGGGGCGGUUGACGUAAACGCCCAGUCAUUCUGGCAAAGAAUUAGCUCAAAUCGAAGACUACAUAUUAAGAAGACUGAUAUCUCUUUCCUUCCCCCAUACAAACGAGAAGCGACAGAAGUUACAGCGCCUCUAUUGGAUGAAGGUAGGAAGCUUAAUGUAAAAAUGUAUAUGUGUGUGUGCAUCACUAUGGAAAGUACCACCUUUACCCGCAAGUGGCGCAGCUGUUACUGUCUCCGGAUUUUAGACAGAGUUGCCAGUCUUCUUGAUAUGUAGUCUUCGCUCAAAUGCAACAACCGUUUCUGACAGAAGCGGUUAUACUAACCGAUGCUGCUCACUUUUAGCCAGAAUCCAGCCACCCUGUCAAAAAAAAUGCGGACGAACAUGGUCAGGCGAUUUAAAAAAUUUGACGUUUGACUCAACUCGCCUGUGCUAAUUGCCCCUAGGAACAAAUGCAAUUUGCGAAUGCGAUUUAAAGGCAAUUUCAAUACUUAGACAAAUUUUCUGGCGGCUGAAAUGGACUUGGUUGUUUUUUGCGUUUUUGAAACAUGGCGGUUCAUGUUUGCCUUAAGUUUAAAAUUGUUUUUUUUUUAACAAUUGGCGUAUUCCCGCUUGUAUUUUGUUUGUUUAGUGCACUUAAUUUAGUCAACGAAUGUGGGAAAUUGUGGAAUCGUGUGUAAGUAUAGUGGAACAAGAUCUCUGACCUAAAGUCUAAAUGAAAGUCAGAUUGUGGUAAGUUUUGGUGUGCAAUACGAAUUUCACCAUCGAUUCUUCCUAUAGUCUGGUGUUGAUUACCUAGUGUACUGAUAAAUUUAUGUGAGUAGAUAGUGAAUCCGAAAAUAAUUAUUAUUUUUAAUUUUCAUAUCAGGCAAUUAAGGGCGAUUAAAUGGCGCGUUCCCUGGGCGAUUUGGGGGCGAUUUAAGGGCGGGUAGAGCGGCAAAAAAAUGACAGCGGCAAAUCGCCCAAAUGUUGCAUGUAAAAUAGCCCCCUAAUUGCCAGCAAAUUGCUGGCAAAUUGUAGGGCAAUUAGCGCAUCCGAGUUGGCAAAUAGCCCCCCGUCAGCCAACUUGCCCUUUUUGACUGGGCAGGAAUGUACGGUCAAGAUUUCUGUACGUUUCCUACCACAUCUUUGUCAGACGUUUUGCUCGAUUCGUGCUAAAUUCUACCAGGUAGGAAUUUUCAAGUUCUUUGCACGAUUUAUUUCCGAAUUAUGCCAGGGUGUUGCUUGGUCCCUGUCAAAAUCUGCCAGAAAAAGCGAGUGAAACCGAGUUCGCCCUAGCUCAACUAACAAAUGCUAUUUGCGAAUGCGAUUUAAAGGUAAUUUCAAUACUUAGACAAAUUUUCUGGCUGCUGAAAUGCACUUGGUUGUUUUUCAAACAUAGCGGUUCAUGUUUGAUUUAAGCUUAAAAUUGUUUUUUGAACAAUUGGUGUAUUUUCACUUGUACUUUGUUUGUCUAGUGCACUUCAUUUAGCAAACGAAUGUGGGAAAUUGUGGAAUCGUGUGUAUGUAUAGUAGAACAAGAUCUCUGACCUAAACCUUAAUGAACGUCAGAUUGUGAUAAGUUUUGAAGUGCAAUACCAAUUUCACCAUUGAUUCUUUCUAUAAUUUGGUGGUGAUUACCUAGUAUACUGGUAAGUAUAUGUGAGUAGAUAAUGAAUCCGAAAAUAAGCAUUAUUUUUAAUUUUAAUAUUAGGCAAUUAAAGGCGAUUGAAUGGCGCGUUCCAUGGGCGAUUUAAGGGCGGGUUGGGCGGCAAAAAAAUGACAGCGGCAAAUCGCCCAAAUGUUGCAUUUGAAAUAGCCCCCAAAUUGCUAGCAAUUUGCUGGAAAAUUGUAGGGCAAUUAGCGCAUCCGAGUUGGCAAAUAGCCCCCCGUUAGCCAGCAAUUUGCCCUUUUUGACAGGGGACUCAAAAAAAUUAUCACUUCUCGACAAACAUAUGACUACGGCCUAAAAGCCAACUGUCAAAAUCCACUUUGAAUGGAAAUUCCGGACAAAUCGUUACGCGCCAAUCAGAGAUGUUUAUAGUAACCGAAAGAAAAAUAUUUUUUCUUUCAUAAACUGUUGUGAACUGUGUUCGGCUAGUAACGGUUUGUCCGGAAUUUCCAUUCAAAGUGGAUUUUGACAGUUAGCUUUUAGGCCGUAAUCAUAUGUUUGUCGAGACUUAUCAUAUGCAGAAACAUAUAAAUAUUCUCCAUAAUACUUUUCACAUAAAUAUUACAUGUUUCACUCAUGGAUGAUUUUAUUGUCAAUCUAAUCAAAAUCAGCGUCGACUGCAUGUAUAUGUUUAGUGAAAAUCAGCUACUUUCCAUCGGAAUGUCACACAUUCUAGUUGAAAUCCACAUUAUUUUUAUGGGAAUUUUUUGUGAUAAUUAGCUGCAUUGAAAAUAACAUUCAAAUGCUUUACUUAUGUGUUUAAGAAGAGUGGAGCAAAUGGAAUAAAUAUACAGACAUUGAAUUAAUAUAUCAUGUAUUCAAUAUAAAUAUUUACAAUAGCAUAACCAAAUACAAAUAUGUUAAUACGGAAUACUCUGACGAUUUUUCGAGGAUACAUUUUAUAACCUUGGUACACCGAUAAAGGUACACUGUCAAGGUGACAGUGUACUUUGAUUAAAUAUUCAGAAAAUUGGCAGCCCUGUGCCUAAAAAAAUCACCGUUACUAUUAGGUUUUACACCAACCGACGCAUCCCCACAAAAUGAGCCGGAUGAACUUCGUUUGACAAUUCUCGGUGGUUUGUUUACAUGGAAGUUACGUGAGUUCGAAUGUAAUAGAUGAGCACCCGUUGCACUCGCACUCACGCAACUGACAAGGUAAACAAACCACCGAGAAUAGACCUUUCUCGUCAAAAAAUUUUAUAUGAUAGGAUGCUUCCUUUUUUAUCCCCAAUUCGUUACUGCUGAUUGCCGCGAUGAUUUGGUACCUCUAACUAUUGAAAAAAUCAAAAAUAGUGCAAGCUGCUCAUUUAACCCCAUAUUCUAAAUACCUAUCUUGCCUUGUUUCCCCGUAUUUUUACACCAUUUGGAUGAAUUUCAUGUGGGGAAUACUAAAAGGAUGCCAGAUCUGCAUAUAUAUUAGUAAAUCUGCAGAUUUUGCAUUUUCACUGCAGAUGUUUUGCAGAUUACAAAUAUUUAGCAGAACAAAGCCUAUGCCAGCCAAUUUAUACACAAGCCUUCAACAUUUUUGAUCAUUUAAAAUAUAUACAUACUACAUUUCUAUGUCAAAUUUAUUGAAGAUUUUUGUAGCAAUCUGCAGACUUUUAUAUUUUCACUGCAGGCUAUUGCUUAAAUAGACCUGGCAUCACUGAUGCUGAAAUGAUUCAUUCAUAUACCUGUCAAAAACAUAGAGCAUUGCAUGAAAAUGUAUAACCUCACUUUUCUGACAGUUCAGUGUGCUUGUUUACCUAAGACUUGUUUACAUGAACUUUUAAAAUUUACAUUACUUGAAUACUUUCGAUGCUCUUUGAAAGACUAUCAACUCAAGAGGGAUGAGGAUUGGAACAAUGGGAACCUGGUGCCACAUUAUGCAACCAAUUCGAAUCGAACUUUUCACACAAGCUUGAAUACAAUAAACCUUUCGUUUCGAGAUGCGUAAUGUCACCCCUGCUUCAUACAUUGACCAAUCGGCGCUGGAUGCAAAACCCGGUGGCAUAUGCUGAAUCGUAAGAUCAAGCAUUGGGCUACCCGAAUAGAAAUGUACAGUAACAAAACCACACUGUAAAUAAUGUACACUUUUAUUCGAAGAGAUUCGACACAUAAAAUUUAAGUUUUAAGCAACGUUGAAAAUUCAACUGCUUUCCAUAUGCCCUUUAGCAACAUUACUCUUGAAAAUUAAGUGUGCGAUCCUAUGACCUGAAUGACUGUUAUUGCAUUUAAAUUUAAAGUGUCGGAAUAUUGAAUAAUAAAAGUUUUGACCACGAAACUUAUGUUUUCCCACAAAUGCGGCAACAUUAAGUGUAAAAACGCUUAAAUAAAAGUUUUUUCCACAUCGAUUUGAGGCAACAUGGCUGCGCAACACGCUGAACUUAUCAAUUUAGGAUUUUCGCCGCAUAUUUCGGAGAUUUUAAAUGGUAAGUAAAUCAAUUUAUCUUAUUUGUUUGCAUAAUUGAUAGAUAAACUUUCGUUUGCAGCUCAUAACAAAAAUUGAGUUGACAUAAAUAAGACCUGUGAAUUCUUACAGAACAAAGGAUUUGUUGAAGCAGCCAAAGAUAACGAGUGCGAAUGGAGAAGGCGUGUUAGCAGCAAUUCGGCUUCCAGGAUGAGAUUCGACAGGAAACUAUUUUCAGCACUGGAGAAAUAAACUUGGCACAGAACCCUUAGGUAUCUGCCUCGUCUUCCCCGUAUGAUGGAAUAGUUCCACAGGCAACUUAGCAAGAAAUAUAUAGGAUUCUUUAGUGCUAUGACCUAAUCGGGAAACAGGUACGGCUCAAUAACUCUAGACACCUGCAUCUUUUUCCCCGUUUGAUGUAAUAAUUAUAGAGGUAAUGUCCGUAGGGAAGUGCGUCGCAACGUUCGGGACAGAUUUUAACAGCUCACCCAUAGUGGUGCUUUCAAUAGUAGAUAGUGUUAUUUUGAAAGAUUAA